rnacentral:lncRNA from 1 species
CUUUUAGAUUCAAAAUCUGAGGUGAAAGCAAUCAAGUUCUUACUGUAAAAUUUCAUCCCGCAGCCAGUAUCGGCAAGUUUUUGUGUGUGUGUGUGCGUCUUGUUUUUUGUUCUGAUGAUCUUAUCUCUCCUCUCUAUGAUAUAGCUGCCCCUACUCCACACCACCCAGUGAUCCAUGUUGAAAGUCCUGAAGAAAUUGACACUAGGAUAUUAUAAUCAUCCUAUGGUGGUCUCUCAAGAACAAGUUAAUCUCCAGACCCACCACUCACCAGUGAAUUUUAAAGAAGAAAAACAACGCAUCUAGAGGAGCCAAAGAUGGAGAAACCAAUCUAAUUAAUUCAUCACCAAGGCCAAAGAUAUAUAAAUCUUAUCAUUUGAUCUGUCAACCAACACUAUGAAUUAUUCAACUCCCUGAAUCUCAAGAAGGCAGGCAUAAAGAAAGUGGUUAGAAAGCAGCUGGCUGAGCAGAAGAAGGCACUCAAUAGAUCAAAGCAAAACAAGCCCCCAAGGCUGAAAAAACUUUGGGGGUGGAUCCCUGGGACAAGGAAUGAGUCCAAGAAAGACUCCAGGAUCAUGUGUCACAAGGGGGCCCAUCACCACCACUUCUGCUAAGAUGGUUUGAAUAGGACUUUUAUACUCCCCCUUUUCACACACCCUGGUUUCUGAGCAAGAGUUCUUCCUGCAAAUAUAGCGUGGUGUGUUCCCUUUUAAAACUGAGCUUUCCAAGAGUUCCAUGUCCUCAACUAGUCCCCACAAAUCGUCUACAGAGGCAGGAAAGUCUGCUGUUUUAUAGAGAAUAGCAUUUAAGGUACAUAUAAAACCUUGAAUCCUUAGAGAAACCUGCAUUUAAACUAUAAAUACUGAAGCAUUUUUUAGGCAGAUGUACAUUGGAGAUACAUAUAUAUAUAUAUAUAUAUAUAUAUAUAUAUAUAUAUAUAUGUAUUUUUAGUAGAGACGGGGUUUCCCCAUGUUGGCCAGGCAGGUCUCAAACUCUUGACCUCAGGUGAUCCCCCCACCUCGGCCUCCCAAAGUGCUAGGAUUACAGGUGUGAGCCACCAUGCCCAGACACAUUGGAUUUCUUAAAGGUCCAAUGACCUUUAAGAGAGAGAGGGAAAAAAAGAAGGAAAAAAUAUACAAAAGUUGCUUAUGUAAUUAAAGCUUGGUAAACAAAUAUAUUUUACUAUUUAUAUAUCUGUAAUCACUAAACUACCUUGCACUUUGAUAAAAAAUGAUAUUUACAUAUGGAAAUAAAGCCAAGGAUGAAAAGGAACCUGGAGGGAUAUUUUAAAUAACAGGAUAAUGUAAACCUUCAUUUUAUAAAGGAUAUUUUGAUUUUGUAUUAAUUUCGCUUGGUAUUUGGAUCUCCACCCACUCCUUGCACUUUUUAAAAUAUGGAAGCAUAUAUAUAUAUACUUUUGCAAUUAUUCCUAGCUGAACACCACAAUGUCUUAUUCGGUUCUGUAUCUUCAGCAGUAGCCCACAGCCUGGCACAGAGUAUGUGCUCAAAGAGUAUUGACUGACUGGUGAACAGAAGAGAGCAUGAAAGUGGGGUGAGGACUCUAACAGAAUGGGGAAGAGCCUACUAGAUUCCCAUUAAGAAGAAGGUUAAUCCUAUCCUGAAACACAAUCCUAAUGUGAGAUUUUUUGGGGGCACCCCAGGUAAGUGUGGCCUUAGUCUCCCUAAUUUACAAAGAAUCCCAGCAUCCUCUAGGCUGUCCUGGGAUAAAGGCUUUAAGCAAAUCUAUAAUAUAACCAAUUUUCUAAAGCUUGGAACCAAGCACAGGCAAAAGUGUAGGUAAAAUAUCAGCUAUUUGGAGGAUUUCUGUUUCUUCCAUCUGUCUUAGCAUGAAUCUCUCUAUAGGUCUGGAUAGUAGAGAAAGGGGGUGGGAGCACCAACUGAUGAACAGCAGCUUUGAGGACUUUGGCUUCUCAGGAAAUGGGCAAGGGAAGAGCAAGUGUAGUUAAAAAAACAACAAUCUCUUAAGUCCAAAGAAGAUUCUUGGACUCAAGGCUCUAGUUUUCUUUCAUACCAAAAUCAAGGGCAUUUACUUUUUCACAGACAACAGAGAGUGCUGCCUUUAACUCUGGAAUAAGAUUGGCAGUAAAUCAUCAAUAACAACCAUCAGUCUCUUGGUGCCAUGCCUCCUACCACCUCCAUCCAAAAAUAUUUUUUAAAACAAUUGCUGUUAGCUAGGUCUUUGUCUUGGACUAGGAAAAAGCAAGUGUACACCAAGUAAGAAUGAGAAGUGCAUUAGCAAAGCUCUGUGGGGUCUUCUGGUCCUUUUAGUUAGAGACGCAAAGGGUCACAGCUUGGGUGCAGGAUGGAAGCCAGAGGUAGGGAUAUUUUGUUGAUUGCUGCUUCUCUUGAUUUUAUGCUCAAAAACACCAAUUAAAUAUGCAAGGAGUCUACUUAAUACAGAUGCAUUCACUCUCCAAGCCCCAAAUCAAUGAGUUGGGACUUCAGGAUUGAAAGAGGAUUCUGAAGAGCUGAAUUCAUGAGUUUUCUUAUCUCAGCCAUGCCAGACCCUGGAUGGAGUUCACUGUACUCUACAGCUCUGGUUUGUUUGCUUCUUUCUUUUUUAAGGGAGCCAACACCAGACCCAGCAGGAGUCACAGAGAAAAGAGCCACCAGAUCAAGAUCAAGCAAUCCCUUCUUUUCACCAUCCCCCUCCACCAACCUUACAAGCUGUGAGCUGCUUGACAACUCCAUCAAAUAAAAUUUAAAGACAGA